rnacentral:misc_RNA from 1 species
AGCAGCAAGAAUGGGACACUUGGAAAUUGUUAAGUCCCUUCUGAGCAAAGAUCCUGACAUUGGCUUUAGAACGGAUAGUAAAGGCCAAAGUGCCCUGCACAUGGCUGUAAAAGGACAAAAUGUUGGCAUUGUGCUCGAGUUAAUAAAACCGAAUUCUUCUGUAUUGACCUUGGAAGAUAACAAAGGAAAUAGAGCUCUUCAUAUUGCAACAAAAAAG